rnacentral:rRNA from 1 species
GACGAACGCUGGCGGCGUGCCUAAUACAUGCAAGUAGAACGCUGAAGGAGGAGCUUGCUUCUCUGGAUGAGUUGCGAACGGGUGAGUAACGCGUAGGUAACCUGCCUGGUAGCGGGGGAUAACUAUUGGAAACGAUAGCUAAUACCGCAUAAGAGUAGAUGUUGCAUGUCAUUUGCUUAAAAGGUGCAAUUGCAUCACUACCAGAUGGACCUGCGUUGUAUUAGCUAGUUGGUGGGGUAACGGCUCACCAAGGCGACGAUACAUAGCCGACCUGAGAGGGUGAUCGGCCACACUGGGACUGAGACACGGCCCAGACUCCUACGGGAGGCAGCAGUAGGGAAUCUUCGGCAAUGGACGGAAGUCUGACCGAGCAACGCCGCGUGAGUGAAGAAGGUUUUCGGAUCGUAAAGCUCUGUUGUAAGAGAAGAACGAGUGUGAGAGUGGAAAGUUCACACUGUGACGGUAUCGUACCAGAAAGGGACGGCUAACUACGU